AUGGCCGCCGCACUGCCACCGUCGCCGCCCGCCGCCCUCGCGGCGCUGCUGCUCCUGGUGAUGCUUUCGCCGGCCGCGGCGCGCGUCCCUGGCGUGUACACCGGCGGCGACUGGCAGAGCGCGCACGCCACCUUCUACGGCGGCAGCGACGCCUCCGGCACCAUGGGCGGCGCGUGCGGGUACGGGAACCUGUACAGCCAGGGGUACGGGGUGAACAACGCGGCGCUGAGCACGGCGCUGUUCAACGAGGGGCAGAGGUGCGGCGCCUGCUUCGAGAUCCGGUGCGAGAACCAGCCUGGGUGGGCGUGGUGCCUCCCGGGGAGGCCGUCCAUCGUCGUCACCGCCACCAACUUCUGCCCGCCCAACUACGCGCUCCCCUCCGACGACGGCGGCUGGUGCAACCCGCCCCGCCCCCACUUCGACCUCGCCAUGCCCAUGUUCCUCCACAUGGCGCAGUACCGCGCCGGCAUCGUCCCCGUCUCCUACCGCCGGGUGGCGUGCCGGAAGUCGGGCGGGGUGCGGUUCACGAUCAACGGGUUCAGGUACUUCAACCUGGUGCUGAUCACGAACGUGGCGGGGGCGGGGGACCUGGUGCGGGCCAGCGUGAAGGGGUCCAGCACCGGGUGGAUGCCCAUGUCCCGCAACUGGGGCCAGAACUGGCAGUCCAACGCCAUCCUCGUCGGCCAGGCCCUCUCCUUCCGCGUCACCGCCAGCGACCGCCGCACCUCCACCUCCUGGAACGCCGCGCCGCAGAGCUGGCGCUUCGGACAGACCUUCGAGGGCAAGAACUUCAGGGUCUGA
rnacentral:rRNA from 1 species